GUCGAGAAUCUUUCACAAUGGGGGCAACCCUGAUGGAGCGACGCCGCGUGGAGGAUAAGGUCUUCGGAUUGUAAACUCCUGUCAUGCGUGAACAAGGUUGCUUGGUUAAUACCUGGGCAAAUUGAUGGUAACGCAAGAGGAAGAGACGGCUAACUCUGUGCCAGCAGCCGCGGUAAUACAGAGGUCUCAAGCGUUGUUCGGAAUCACUGGGCGUAAAGGGUGCGUAGGUGGCGUGGUAAGUCAGAUGUGAAAGCCCGGGGCGCAACCUCGGAACUGCAUCCGAUACUGGCAUGCUAGAGUACUGGAGAGGUGACUAGAAUUCUCGGUGUAGCAGUGAAAUGCGUAGAUAUCGAGAGGAAUACCAAAGGCGUAGGCAGGUCACUGGACAGUUACUGACACUGAGGCACGAAGGCCAGGGGAGCGAACGGGAUUAGAUACCCUAGUAGUCC
rnacentral:rRNA from 1 species